rfam:Triticum urartu cultivar G1812 contig923833, whole genome shotgun sequence.
AAAGCACUCCCUCCGUCCCAAAAUUCUUGUCUUAGAUUUGUCUACAUACGGAUGUAUCAAGUCACAUUUUAGUAUUAGAUACAUCCGUAUCUAGACAAAUCUAAGACAAGAAAUUUGGGACAGAGGGACUAGUUC